UGGACAGAUUAUUGUAUUCGACUAUAUUCACGGCGUGAAACAAGGGAUUACACUGUUUUUAAACGGAAAGUGAAUUAAUUAACAUAAUAUACUCAU
rnacentral:pre_miRNA from 1 species